rnacentral:rRNA from 1 species
UACGGAGGGGGCUAGCGUUGUUCGGAAUUACUGGGCGUAAAGCGCACGUAGGCGGACCAUCAAGUUGGGGGUGAAAUCCCGGGGCUCAACCCCGGAACUGCCUUCAAAACUGUUGGUCUGGAGGUCGAGAGAGGUGAGUGGAAUUCCGAGUGUAGAGGUGAAAUUCGUAGAUAUUCGGAGGAACACCAGUGGCGAAGGCGGCUCACUGGGCUCGAUACUGACGCUGGAGGUGCGAAAGCGUGGGGAGCAAACAGGA